AGUCUCCUCGUAGCACAGUUCUCCCCAGCCUGGGAGAUUUUCACCUCCUUGCCCUGGGCAGGGGAGCAGCAGGAGGGCAGGAGCUGGGCCUGAGCUGGGCCUGCCCUGCCCCAGGGACUGCCCUCCCUGCAGCCCAGGCUGAGGCAGGAAGGUGCCAG
rnacentral:lncRNA from 12 species